rnacentral:rRNA from 1 species
UGGUGGAGUGAUUUGUCUGGUUAAUUCCGUUAACGAACGAGACCUCGACCUGCUAAAUAGUCUGGCGAACACUCCUGGGUUCGUACAACACUUCUUAGAGGGACUAUCGGUGUGUAGCCGAUGGAAGUUCGAGGCAAUAACA